AAGAAGACAAUUAUGCCUUAGGGACCAGAGGAUAUACAGGGACAAGUGUCAGUGGGGGAUGGCCAACCUGCUUUAGGGCUGGCUUGCCACAAGUGUGGGGCAGGGAGAACAAGCAUCAUGUCCCACAACCAGGACAUUUACGCAACACAGAGGUAAUCUUAGAGUCACCCCUGCACUGCAGGUUACCUCACGUUCCAUGUGCCUGAAAACAAACACUAAAAAUGGAAAACCAAGGCCAGGACAGCUUACAGAACACACCAGGCAGAAGCACUGACGUUGACAUCUCUGUUACAGGUCCAUCCACCCCUCUGUGGCACACACCUGUUCUCUAUUCCUGCAUAGCAUCACGGUUUGGAGGCACGUGGGCAUUUGAACUUGCAAAGCAAGGACAGGAGGAAUCACCUGCUGAGGCACUGUGAUGAGCUAGUAAGAGCCUCAUCAGAUGGAAGGUUCCUCCCUGAAAAUGGGCAAAGCUAUUCUUAGUUUUCCAUUUAUCUUUUUCUUCCGAAUGUGGCUGGCAGUUGCACUGCCCUUUUGCCUCCCAUAGACUUCACUCUGUUGCAACACAACACACUCAGCUGCUCAGAAAACAGCCCAGAUUAGGUAUAAGGCUAUAAUAAAAACCCAGAGAAAAUUUCAGAGAAGUUCUGUUUUUCAACUCUGUAAAACAGAACAUGCAGCAAAGACAUUUAUAUAUAUUUUUAAAUUACACAUGAUCUCCUUUUCAUGUGAUACUUCCAGUUACUGUGAGCUUUCUGAGCAGAGGUAGACUAGUCACACUAAACUAACCCUACUCCCCAAAGACAAUUUUUUGUAAAAUAUACCUACAAGUCUUAAACAGAGGUAAAACACAGUAAUUCCAUGAAGAUGGGUAACUAUUCACAAAAGGAAAAAAAGCAAAGAAGACCUGAGCAGAGCUGGCAAAACUAUUUGGUAAAUCAUAUUAAAAUGUAUCUUUGGUGUCUUUUCAUUAGUGUACAUACGACAGCUUUCAGAUGGGGAGAAUCCAUUAAAAAAAGAAUGGGAAGGCAGGACAGAGAAAAGGCUCAUCUGUGUUGGUGGCAACACAGUGUUGUUUCAGCUCAACUGCAUUUGAAACCCGAGGUGAGAACAUGAAAGCAGCCUUUGGCAAACGUGGCUCCUCCACCUUCUCCAGCAGAGGGAAGUGCAUGGAUGGGCUCCAGGCCCAGGACAGAGCCCGAGCACCCUAUGGGUGCUGAGCUCUGCUCCGAAUCAAGGAACUGGCAAACAGAGCUGGACUGACUCUGUGUUCACACAAACCCUUUUUAAGUUAAAAGAGGACUGCACCCAAAUGCUUCCACUAUGAGUGAGUGAGUGAGUGAUCCUUUGCCAUUCAAAGACACUUGGCAGAGAAAUGCUCUUGAUUCCAAGUUCACCCAUCCAAAGGACGCGGAGCCAUAUCUUGGAAAAGUAAAAAGGGCUGUGCCUUUUGGUGAGCGAGAUGCUGGCUGGCAUCAGCUGAGGGAAGUUACUGGUGCUGACACUGUAAGGAAAACAGGCUGCCAUGGUUCAAGGAUCACUGUCUACAGGAAAUGGAAGACCAGACUUGUGCAACACCAAAGGAGCGCAUGGUUGGUGAAAGCACUGGAGAAGGAUGGCAGCUGGGUGAAGAUAGAGGACAACUUAUUUAUUUUGAUUUAAACUUUCAGAAGAGAAUUAACAAUAGGUGAAUGCAUAACUCUGAAGGUCUUUACAGAUUUCUGAGCAUGCUGCUUCUCCAACAGAGCUCAGAGCCAGGACUGAGCAACACUUUCCUGCAAUUACAGCUCCCAUUGCCAGCACAAACGAAUGACACAAAUUGUGAGAGUCUGGUGACCAGCAGAUACAUGCAGUGAACACAGUACUGCAGCUAAACAUGUCAAGCCUCUUAAAAGCUUAAUGGUGACACAGAUGACCAAACCAAACAUUUAUUAAGGGCAUUUAAAAAUUAAUGAGUUACAUUCUUACCCUCUUCUGGCUGGUGGAGUAGUAACACAAGAACCUAAUAAAUGAACCAGAAAACAACAACAAGAAACUCCCACUAGACCAAGAUUUCCAAAGCAGUAAACUGACAAGAACCAUACAGACAUCUCACAUGACUGACUUCAAUCCUUUGACAGUCCAUUUAUUCCUUUUUCCAGUGCCAAAAAAUAUACACACAAGUACAGCUUACUCAGCAGCAAAUCUCCCAGGUGCAUUGAACGAGCAGAUGCCUGCAGGUUUGCUCUCCUUAGCAUGACACACAUGAUAAAUUACAUUUAAAUUUAGAAUUGGCAAGUACAAAUCCUAUGGCUCCGUUUCAAACCAAACAACUUGGCACCAAGUUUAAAAAUACAUACAGCAUAUCUGUGAAGUAAUACUGUAUGCACUGAACAACUUGAAGACAUCUGUACCAUUUAGGAUUAUAAAUUGAGCAGCCUAGGUGUUACCACUGUAUCAGCUUACUUAAAAUGGAAGUCAGAGUACCCUGUAAAGUGAAACUGUGGACAGCAGCAAAUUUUUAAAAUACGUAAGAAAACUUUUAAGGUGAAAGCAGUUUAUUUGCAUUUUUAUGACAGUUUAAGUGUGAAGGUGUUACUUCAUAUGGGAAUGUAAAAAUCACAUGUGGUUUAAAAUGGGUAGAAGACAAGGAAGAAGAAAAGAGAAAGCAUAGCAAACCUCACAAGCUGGCUCACAAGGAUCAACUACUAUCUCUGGAGUAUUUUGCCUAGUCUUCCACUGUCACCCAGGAAGGAUCCCCCCAGGAAUGAGAUUUAAGAGUAAAUACAUGUGUGUGUAUGUGCACACACACACUGAAUCCUGGGCUAAGCACCCCUUCCUUCUUGCUCUGAUUAACAAGGAAAAAAACCCUCAUCCCACAUGCAUUUUUUAUGCUCUAUUUAUUCUAAAAGGUAGAAGGUUCAUCAGAAUGAUUUGAUGGAGCACUCAUCAUGAGCAAAUGUUUCACAAGCUCUAGUGGUAUGAAGCUUCAGUUACAUCACAUACCAGUAGAUUAAGCUACUUAUGGUCAGUUAUAUUUUAUCUAUGUAUUUUAAAUGGCAACUGUGUGAGUAACAAGCAUUCCAUUGCUUCUGGCUAGAUAAAUGCACUUGAUGCUGCAGGAUGUUACACAUUCUGCAAAGCCUGUGGGACAGAUAUAGAAAUGGCUGGUUUUGGGGAGGAGGCAUAGAUAAAUCAAACGCAGUAAAAAGAGCCUAACUACUUCUAGCUCUCUGCUGACUUCUGUAGAAUACUUGGAGUUACACAAAUGCCCUUCUAAAAAGGUGCAGUCAGAAAGCAGCAAUUUGGCAGAACCCCCGUGGGUAACUCUGCACAGGAGCACCAGGCAGCAGCGGGCUCAGACGCUGACACCUGGCGGCUGUUUGGCCGGGGUGACACUCACAAAAAAAGACAAAUAUUCAUAACAAAUCACUCACAGAGCAUUUGUAACUUGCUUGCUAGGCUCUUACUAAGAGAAAAAUCACUAAUUUGUACCAAUUUUCCCUCGUCUUGCUUUUUAAAUGCCAUGCACAACUGAAGUUCUAGCAAGUGGAAGAACAAAGGCAGCCUCUGUAUGCAGCAUGUACACUUGCAGGUUGUGUUAACAUAAUGCUUGUAUGAAACUCUAAUAUUUAGAGUUUAAGAGAAUUGUAAGCUUUUAUACCCUGGAAACUACAAAAUAAAAGACUCUGCUGUCAUGCAACACUCCAACCAAGCCAAACAGAUAUAUAAAUUAUAUAACUUAAUGCACUAUUUUAUCCAAAAUUCUUGCAUCUAUUCAGCCUUAAAUACAGAAAAUAUAUUGAUCAUAGCUGUACAUACUCUCUAGCAACUCUUCAUUUUAACAAAAUAUUACAGUGGCUAUGACAAACUCAUUUUGAUGAGGUAGCAUUUGCAAGAGCCCUGUGCGAAGACACACUGAAUAGUUUCUGGUAAAACUUUUGUGCUUAGACAUCAGAAGACACUGAUGAGAAACAGAAGACUGACACCACUGUGCACUUCAUAAUCGGUGGCUGGCAAAAGGGGAUAAACAAGUGACUGAACAAAUUCAGAUUUGGUGAAAACUGGUCCAAUUUCACCAGCCUUGAGAUCACAGAAACUGCAUUAAUUUGCUUUUUAUUCCCCUCAAAUGUAAUUGAAUGCACAACACAUUCACAGGCAUGCACACUUGUAAUCAUUAAUAUAAAGUCUCCUUACCCCUAAUUAUUUCUCCACCAUGGAAGCCAAGUAGUUAAGUCUUGGGGCUUACUCACAUCUAUUUUCUGUGAGAAGUGCCAGGAAAUGAAUUUACAACUAUGUUACACUUAGCUAAAAUGUAUGAUAUGUUUCAAGCUACAAAUAAAAUCCAUAUUCCACCAGUUAAUUAUUAAAAAUAAAUAAAACACAUAUUGGAGACUAACUGAAUUAUGAUAACUAAACAUGAAUCAUAAAAGCAUCUUUGGUUGUUUAAUGUCUGCUUUAAAAUGGUUACUACAAAAAGCUGGAGUUGCAACACAGCAUAGAGCAGCAGCCUGUCCUCAGCAAUGCUAUUGUUAUAUGUCCAAGCACUUCAACAAGAAAAAUGAGGAAGUCAAAUUCAUUGGGAGAGAGCAAAAGGCUGGAUGUAAUCACUGUAUACACCUAGGAUGUAAAAAUACAAAUUUAACAUUUUGGCAAUAAGUUAAAAACAAAAAAAAGCAUACGUUCAUUUGUUUGGGUUUUUUUUACAACUCUGUAUUAAGACAGAUCCACAGAACUAACUUUUAUAAAAAUACAACAUACUGCAUAAGUUUUAUUUAUGGAUUUAAUUUAUAUACCACAAAUACUGCUUUUAAUAUAAGUACAAUAUAAUACAUUUUUAUUUAUGUAACUGCUGGUGUUCACUUUGGAUUAUGAACUGAAUGGCAUGCUGUGCUGUCAAAACUUUAAUAAAAUGGCCUCUAGUUAAACUUCUCCAAAGUAUAAAAUCAUGCAAAAUCUACAUCCUAUAUGAUACAACCAGUACAAUAAUUGAAGCCAAUAGCCUACAAACAGCUUGGAUCUUCUGAGUUUGUUCUUGAAGUGUCCACACAUCCUUCAUCAUUUUCUUUAGGCAGAAAGGAGGAAUUGCAGUUUUGUCUGCAGAAUGUCAUCAUGACCACUGAAACCAGCACCAACGUGCAGUUAUCAGCUAACAAAUCUUCAUUACCCACUGCAGUUCAUUUAGUCCAGAUCGACAAAUCUGGGGUUAGGAAGUUUUAUGUUUUCCUCCUGUGACUACUGGUCGUGCAUAUUCCACAAAAUCAUCUAUUAGAACAGGCCACGCUCCUACAGAGAAAUCAAGCAAUUGAGAAAUUAGCCAACCAUUACCAGCAGUAAACUGGUGUAGUCUACAAAUACAAAGGAUUAGAAGCUCAUCUUGACAUUUCUGGCCUUGUCUAACUUUAACAGGCACAACAUGAUAAAAUACUUGAAAAAAAACCACCUAACUAAUAAAUUUCACAUUUGAAUCUCUUCUUUCAGCAAUAGUUCUUAAGACAACCAAAUAUUUAAAACACAGAACUCCACGCUAAAACUAUAAACAUUAGCUGAUAGCAAAACCACGGCAUUCUUAUUAUAGCCAUUCAUAUCUUAGGACUUAUUUCUGCACACAUUCCAAAACAGAAUUAGUAACAGAGUAAACUGCAUUUAGGGUAGCAAAAAUUUUGUACAAAACAUUGUUUCACUCAGAAGUCUGUAGAAUAACACAUUCAAAUAAUGUGCUCUAUCAUGGUGUGACUGCAUCUUUACCCGUUUUCAAAUUACAGCAAACCAGUUAACCUUCUUAUCACUACUAUUUUGGCAAUGACACUGUACUGUCAGCUGAAACUUUAAGGGUAAACAAAUUAGGACACAAGGUAACAACACGUUCUUUUGUUCAUUUAUUGCAGUAUUUUAAUUCUGCUGUACCAAGUUUUGAAGAUAUUCAGGUACUGCUUACCUUCUUCAUCAUAGUUGGACAUAUCAUCUGCAAUCAUAUUUCCAAAAUCUAACAAAAGAUUCCAAGUAUCUUUUGGAAUUGAUCUUUUAUGAUGUUCCUGUAGAGAGGAAUAACAGUACUGUUCAGUCCAAACUACUUUCAAAUUCCAUAGCAGUAUUUUACAUUGACACAUACAGAAAUACACAUAUUUCAAACAUUUCUUCACCUUCUUUGUCUUAAAAUAAACAAUAACAAAAAGAAAUCCAGCUGAAAGACUUCCUGCUUGCUUCUCUCUUAGGUUGAAAUCUUUUAAUUUAAGUAUUUCUUAUCCACUAAAUGUUCAGGUUAAAUGUUUCUUCUAAAGUAACACACUUUAAUACCAGGUCAUAACUUGCAGAUUUUUCUUCAGUUGCAUCUGUAGAUCUGAAUUUGGAUGUCGUACAGGGUACUGAGGCAGUUACAACAUGAAAUGUUUCCAGAAGCCCUCUUGAUGAAACUGGACAUUAUUCAGUGAUUCAAAUAAAUACAAUGCCAAAAAAAAUUAGAAAAAAACUACAGAAAACUACUUCAGGAAGUGUACACCUUCCCUAUUAAGCACUGGGGGACAAAAAUGCAGAAAGACCUUUUAUUUCUCUAAACUCCAGAUAAAAAGAUAAAAUGAAGAAGAAAAUCAAGAUAAAUUAUAUAUUAUGUAACUUCAUUUUUUGUAAUUAUAAAGACAUGCAAAUGUAGAAACAUGGAUGAGUGAAUCGGGUCUUUUACAAUAAUAUUUUUGAAUUUCUAAGCUUAAUUUAUGCAUCUCUACUUCACUGCCCACAGAAUUGCACUAGUAAUAAGCAAACUGUCAAGACCAGUUCACUACUAUUAGCUAAAAAAUUAAUCAACGCAAUUACUGAGGCAAAAAAUUGUGUUGAAAAUGGAAAGUCUUUUAAUGUUAAAUUCUGGUAUGACUGAUUUAAAAAGACUGAGUUUAUACAUUAGUACUACAAAAGGCAGAGCAUGGUAAAAUACAUGGUUCACAAUAAUCACAGCUGUGAUAUUUUAUCACUAAGAAUCAGCAGCACCAGUUCCAUCUGCAAUCAUGGCUUCCUUCCAUGCAGGAACUUCCCUAAGUAGGAGGAUACGGGACUAAGCAAGCAGAACUUUGCUGCAUCUCUUUGCAUUCUUCUAAAUUAGAAAGCCGUAAGAGAAGAUUUAAUUGGCUUGAUUUGAGGGCAUUUUGUAUCAGUUUUCAAAAAGGAAAAGGUCUGAAGGAAGUAUAGAGAUAUCCCAUCUUUUUGUUAUUGGAAGCAUACCGCCAAAAAAAGCCAGACUACUCUGGAAUAAGAUAGGCAGUAAGAAAUAAAGUAUAUACUUACCAACAAAAAUUUAUUCCAGAGAUCUAAAAAUUUAAACCUUCCUGACAAGACUAAAUUCCAGUAUGCAAUUGCCAUUUCUAGAUCUGCAAGAGAUAAAGCAACAUGUAAAUAUUGCAGUACAUUAUAAGCAAUAAACCCCUUCUGGUUAAACUAUUAAUGCUACAUCUGGUUUAUUAUAAUACAAAUAAAUAACACUCUUGCAAAAUCACUAAAAAAACCUGUAAGGAAUUGUUUUCUACUGUCCCAGACCCAAAAGGUAGAAGACAAGCAGUAACAGUAUAGAUUUUGUACUGAACAUCAAAAUCAAUAAAACUAAAAUAUUUGUCACCAUCCACCAAAGCCAGAUUAAAGCUACUUUCAAUCUACAGAAACAGGACUCUUAAUGACAAAUCAAAAAAGAAAAAAUAUACACACAUGCACAAAAUAGCAAAUAUUGAUAGAAACAAACAUUUAAAUCCACAGAUGUCAACUCCUCUUAAUUUAUCACAUUUUGUACUUGACUUUGAAGGAAAUUUAAGGACAUGAGGGGAUGAAAAAAGUAACUUAUCUGUGGUAUUAUCCCUUACAGCAGUAAUUCUGGCAUCAUUCAAUAGACAAACACCUACACCCAAUAGUGAAAAUACAAAUCCAUUCUGCAUCAUGACCAGUGAUCUGAGAGCAGGGUUCAAGGAAGAUGCAGCACUGCCACAUAUUCCAGCAGAAAGGCAGCAGCAAUAUUAGAUGCAGCUUAAGGGUAGAAAGGAUGUUUUCUUGAAGGCCUGUUUCCAUCCUCAGCAGCUCACAAUGCCUAAUGGCUUUGGUGCUUGCACUAAGUACAUGACAACUACUGGGCAACCAUAAAAUAAGGCACAGCCUUUCUUAAACCACAGAACUAUUUCAGGUUUUUCUUUCAGUAUAAAUGAAGCUCAAGAGAAAGUACUGUGAUAGCUCAUAAAACAGAAGCUCGACCUGCACCUACAAGAAGGAAGAAUGGUUUUUGAAACUGUACAUAUCACAAUACAAACAGGACACUGCCACCUGAAAUCAAGCUUCAUGUCUGAAAGAGAUGUUCCAGAUUUUAACACAGCCAUGCCUCUAGAGUCCCUGUUUCAGACAUGGAUGAAGAGAUGUAGAGAAAUGCAAUAUGCCUCUACCUAUCUACACAGGGACAGUGCUGCCAGUGCUUGUCAGUGCUCUUCAGUACAGAACUUGAAUUAUGCUCUAAUAAACUUCCUUCAGCUCU